GGAGAGUUGCGAGAGCGGUCGAAUCGGCACGACUGGAAAUCGUGUGUAGUGAAAACUACCCUGGGUUCGAAUCCCAGACUCUCCG
rnacentral:tRNA from 1 species